AAGGAAGAGUUUGUGUGGCUGGCAGUGACAAGGAAGAGUUUGUGUGGCUGGCAGUGACAAGGAAGAGUUUGUGUGGCUGGCAGGGUGACAGGGAAGAGUUUGUGUGGCUGGCAGAGUGACAAGGAAGAGUUUGUGUGGCUGGCAGAGUGACAAGGAAGAGUUUGUGUGGCUGGCAGAGUGACAAGGAAGAGUUUGUGUGGCUGGCAGAGUGACAGGGAAGAGUUUGUGUGGCUGGCAGUGACAAGGAAGAGUUUGUGUGGCUGGCAGUGACAAGGAAGAGUUUGUGUGGCUGGCAGAGUGACAGGGAAGUUUGUGUGGCUGGCAGUGACAAGAAAGAGAGUUUGAGUGGAUGGCAGGGAAGAGUUUCAGUGGCUGGCAGGGUGACAGAAGAGUGUGAGUUGUUGGAAGGCUAAAAGGUUAUAGUUUGAGUGGCUGGCAGGGUGACAGGGAAGUUGUCAUGGUUGGCAGGGUGACAAGGAAGUUUUCAUGACUGGCAGGGUGACAGGGAAGAGUAUGAGUGCCUGGCAAGGUGGCAGGGAAGAGAGUUAGUCACUGGCAGUGUGGCAGGAGGGAGUUUGAAUUGCUGGCAGGGUGACAGGGAAGGGAAUUUGUCACUGGCAGGGUGACUGCGUAGAGUUUGAAUGGCUGGCAUGGAGACUGGGAAGGUUUCGAGUGGCUCGGAGGGUGAUAGGAUAGAGUUUUAGUAACUAUAAUGAUGACAUGGAGGAGUUUGCAUGUCUUUUAGGCUGAUAGGGAAGUUUCAAUGGCUGGCAGGGUGACACCUAUGAGUUUGAGUGGAAGGCACGGUGACAGGGAAGGGUUUGAGUAUUUGGCAGGAUGACUGGGAAGAGUUUACAUGGUUGGUAGGGUAAUAGUGAAGAGUUUGAGUGGCUGGCAGGGUGACAGGGAAAAGGUUGUUGAAAGGGUUGUCUUGGAGGGUUUCAGGGAAGAUUCUGAGUGGCCGGCAGGAUGACAGGGUAGAUUUUGUUUGGUUUAUAGGGUGACAGGAAAGAAAUUGAAUGUCUGGCAGGGUGACAGGGAAUAGUUUGGGUGUCUGGCAGGGUGACAGGGAAGAGACUUGAAGGUAAAUGGCUUGCUGGAUGACUAAGAAGAGUUUGAGUGCUUGGCAGGGUGACAGGGAAGAGAGUAAAUGGCUGGAAUGAUGACAGGGAAGAGUUUGGGUGGCUGACAGGAUGACAGGAAAGAGUUUGAGUGACUGGCAGGGUGACAGGAGAGUUUGAGUCUCAUAGAUUCACAGGAAAGAGUUUCCAAAAUCUGACAAGGUAAUAGGGAAAAGUUUGUGGGGCUGGCAGGGUGACAGGGAAGAAUCAGAGUUGCUGACUGGAUGUCAGGAAAGAGAAUUAGUUAUUGGCAGGGUGGCAGGGAAGAGUUUGAAUUGCUGGCAGGGUGACAGGGAAGAGUUAUAGCUGCAGGCAGAGUGGCAGGGAAGAGUUUGAGUGGCUGACAGGGUGCCAUAGAAAAGACUGAAUUGCUGGUAGUUUGACAGGGCUGCAAUGUGACAGGGAAGAGAUGUAGUUGCUGGAAGGGUGGCAGGAAAGAGCUUAAGUGGCUGGCAGGGUGGCAAGAAAGAGCUUGAGUUGCUAACACAGUGACAUGGAAGAUUAUGCAUGGCUGGCAGGGUGACAGGGAAGAAUUUGAGUGGCUGGCAGGGUGACAGGAGCUUGAAUUGCUGGCAAGGUGACACAGAAGAGACUCAAUAGCUGGUAGUUUGACAGGGUUGCAGGGUGACAGGGAAGCGAUGUGGUCGCUGGCAGGGUGGCAGGGAAGUUUGAGUGGCUGGCAGUGUGGCAGGAAAGAGCUUGAGUUGCUAGCACAGUGACAUGGAAGAGUAUGCAUGGCUGGCAGGGUGACAGGGAAGAAUUUGAGUGGCUGGCAGGGUGGCAGGAAAGAGUUCAAAUUACUGGUAAGGUGAAAGGGAAGAAUUUGAGUGCUGGCAGUGUGACAGGGAAGGAUUAGAGUGGCUGGCAAGGUGACAGGGGAGCAUUUAAGUUUCAGGCAGGGUGAGAGAAGUUUAAAUGGCUGGCAGAGUGGCUGAAGAGUUUGCAUGGCUUUAGGAAGGUAACAGGGAAGAGUUUGAGUGGCUUCAGGAAGGUGGCAGGGAAGGGUUUGUUUGAGUGGCUUCAGGAAGGUGGUAGGGAAGGGUUUGAGUGGCUUCAGGAAGGUGGCAGGGAAGAGUUUGAGUGGCUUCAGGAAGGUGGCAGGGAAGAGUUUGUUUGAGUGGCUUCAGGAAGGUGGUAGGGAAGGGUUUGAGUGGCUUCAGGAAGGUGGCAGGGAAGAGUUUGUUUGAGUGGCUUCAGGAAGGUGGCAGGGAAGAGUUUGUUUGAGUGGCUUCAGGAAGGUGGCAGGGAAGAGUUUGUUUGAGUGGCUUCAGGAAGGUGGUAGGGAAGGGUUUGAGUGGCUUCAGGAAGGUGGCAGGGAAGAGUUUGUUUGAGUGGCUUCAGGAAGGUGGCAGGGAAGAGUUUGAGUGGCUUCAGGAAGGUGGCAGGGAAGAGUUUGUUUGAGUGGCUUCAGGAAGGUGGCAGGGAAGAGUUUGUUUGAGUGGCUUCAGGAAGGUGGCAGGGAAGAGCUUGUUUGAGUGGCUUCAGGAAGGUGGCAGGGAAGAGCUUGUUUGAGUGGCUUCAGGAAGGUGGCAGGGAAGAGUUUGUUUGAGUGGCUUCAGGAAGGUGGCAGGGAAGAGUUUGUUUGAGUGGCUUCAGGAAGG